rnacentral:rRNA from 1 species
AUUGAACGCUGGCGGCAGGCCUAACACAUGCAAGUCGAACGAGUGGCGGACGGGUGAGUAAUGUCUGGAAAACUGCCUGAUGGAGGGGGAUAACUACUGGAAACGGUGGCUAAUCCUGCAUACCACCCUAUGUGCCCUGAGGGGAGUAGCUUGUUGGUGGGGUAACGGCUACCCAAGGCGACGAUCCCUAGCUGGUCUGAGAGGAUGACCAGCCACACUGGAACUGAGACACGGUCCAGACUCCUACGGUAGGCAGCAGUGGGGAAUAUUGGACAAUGGGCGCAAGCCUGAUGCAGCCAUGCCGCGUGAAUGAAGAAGGCCUUCGGGUUGUAAAGUACUUUCAGCGGGGAGGCGUUACCCGCAGAUGAAGCACCGGCUAACUCCGUGCCAGCAGCCGCGGUAAUAC